rnacentral:lncRNA from 1 species
GGGGCUCGUGAGAGAAAGCUCGCCCUUUCGUCACCGAAAACGAUAACCCUUCUACUCUCUCUCUCUCUCUAUUUCGAUCUCUCUCGCUUUCGCACGGACGUCUCCUGAGCUCUGAGAGCUCACCGGGGGCAUACGCGGGCCACACUAGCCGAAUGAGCACAAUGUUAAACUACGGGAAUGAUUGAGAUGUGGCCGGCCCACCCUUUCCAUCUCUCUCUCUCUCUCUCUCUCUCUCUCU